rnacentral:lncRNA from 1 species
AGGCGAGAGGUGCUGCCGGUAAAGCUGGACCGGGGAACGUCUGUACCCGCCUUAGAUAUCACACUUUUGAUUCUCAAACACAAGGAAUAUCUUUCCCUCCUCCCUCCGAGAAGUAGGACGAAGGGAGACCUACGGAUCCUACCCUAGACUUGAAGAGAAAGGCUGGGAGCCCGAAGGCAGGAUGCGCAAUUCCUUCCCUAUUUCCCCGCAACCCACCUUCCUUUCCCUCUACUCCUUUCACUUUUAAAUGAAACGACUUAAAAGCUGGGCGUAGUGGCCCAGUCUUGUGGUUCCAGCUACCCGGAAUGCUGAGGCGGGAAGAUCGCUUGAGCCCGCGAGUUCGAGACCAGCCUGGGCCACAUCGUGAGACAUCCCCCGCCCGCCCAUCCCAAAUAACGAGAGAAAUGCCUUUAAAAAUGUUAUCGCCCUCCUUCGCUUUUAUUCGGAGGAAGAGCUUGUAUGUCCAGCGAAGACCUUACCGCCUCCUUAGGAGAAUUCUUUGAGCUGACAAACUCGGGGCGCCCGCGUCCUGCCAUGCUUAAUAGGUCUCAUAAAUACUUGUAAGAUUAGAAUGAGAUGGAUUGGAGGAGUCAGAGGUUUACAUUUCCUAAUUAUUGCGCAUUUUCUUGAGUAGCCCUAUAGAUUAAUUUAUUCAACAACUAGUUUAUUGAAUGGCUACCAAGGAUCGAGAAUUGUAGACUUUGAGGACGCUGCGAUAAACAAAAAUCUGUUCUCAUGGAGCUUACAUCAUAUUGUGGGGAGCAAGAAAACGAGCAAGUAAAAUAUAUGGUACAUUAGAAAGUGAUAACUUUUGUGGAGAAAAAUUAAAAGGCUUUUUUUUUUUUCUUCUCUGACAUUGGAAGCCAUUUGAAGGUUCUGAACUAAAGAGUGACUAGGUCUGAUGGGUUCACUGUGUUGAGACUGAAGAGAAGCAGGGGAAGCAGCAGGAAGAUCUGUUAGGAGGCUACUCUAAUGGUCCUGUUGAGAGAUGAUGGACAUUCAGUACAGGUGAUUAGUCCUGAAAUUCUGAAUAUUUUAAAUGUAUUGCUGAUACAUAAUUAAUGAGAGGAGUAAAGGACAACUCCAACAUUUUAGGAAAUAAAUGUAUGUCACAUUUAAAGUCAGAUACCCUAUUAAAUACAACAGGAUAGGGUUAUGUUCCUUGUAACCCACUAUCCCAUCCAGUUUUCUCUGUCCCAGAAAUAUACUAGAAAUUCUGCUACUUAAGAGAUUCAUUAUUCAGCAGCACAUAUUCUAAAAUUAGAAUGGUGCAGAGAAGAUUUAGCAUGGCCCCUGCGCAAGGAUGACACACAAAUUUUUGUGAGGCAUUCCACACUUGUAAAGUACUUAGAAGUUUAUUUGACAAUAGCAUAUUCCUUUUGAGAAAAUAGACUUCAAGGUACAAUGGAUAGCACCC